CUGGGAGCCUAUAUAUAAGACACUUAGGGCCACUGAAGGCUGUGCCUUCAUGAGGUUGUUUAAGCAUCCAUUAAUACAACAUUAAGUAGCUGCUAGCUAGCUGCUAGUUGGUCUCUAGAAGACCGGCGGCAUGACCAAGCUCGGGGAAAGCCCAGAUAAGACGUUUAAACGUUGGUCCACUAGUAAUAAAAACAGUCUGGCUCGGUACCGUCAGCGCCCGGUGGGAAUGCUAAAGGUGUUCACGGCGGGAAUGCCCCGUCGGGUACAUGAGCUUAGGCUUCCUUACGAGCUAACGACGUUGCGUUGUUCCCCCUCAGGUGCCAGAGGCCAUGUUCCUCCCCCAAUGGAUGCUCCUGCUGGCGGCGGCGGUGGCCAGAGGCUCCGCCCAGACCUCCGUCUUCUGCACCGACCCCACGACGACAGGCGAGCCAGGAGGCCUCCUCAUUGACUGCCUGGGCCUGAGGUUCACCUGGCUCCACUCCCUCCU
ensembl:lncRNA